UCGUUUCCUAUUUUUGCAACGAGGACAC
rnacentral:sRNA from 1 species